ensembl:ncRNA ZK1128.9 ncRNA
UCACUUUCAAUAUACGUGAAAAUUGUUUGAAGCGGCGCCUCGUAGUUGUGGAAACAGUGAAAACCGCGCAGCUACUACCUCGUUUAUUUUUUUGAGUGUUUGUAUGUAUGUGUGUGUGUGCGUUUCAACUU